GACCCUUCAUCUUAUUUACUCUGUUCACUCGAGCUUAGUCUACUACUCUUCCGUGAGGCGCAACUCGUCGAGGCCUGAACAAUAAUCAUGAUGAUCACCACGACGCUCAGCCCUCUCGUCUCUGGAAUCCAGGACAGCAUCAGGGAUGUUGACCUUAGGAGUUUCACCCCGCCCUUUGACCUCUUGUCCUUGAACUUAAAGACAGUCAGCUGGUUGGCCCUUGCAGCGAUAGCUCUGUUUUACCUGUUCAGUGCCUUCGGUAAAUACCUCGUUCCGGUCGCAAGAAGCUUAGCUGUCAACACUGCCGACGCCUGGGAGAACAACGUCCUCGGGCUGAACGAAAUUGGAAGGAGCAGCCCCUCGCUGCAACCAUACUCCGAAAUCCUGGAUACCCUGGCAAAAGCCGUGAAGAAAUGGGAAGAUCCACAAGUGAGCGAAUCCAGCAACGGAAUUAAUAAAAACCAGUGAAGCUGCAAAUAUAUUGACGUAAUUGUCAGAGUGCCAUGAAGGCCUCGUCCAGUAAGACAAAUUGUCCUUUUUUUGUCGCUAUUUAUUAGUUGUUUUUCCUUUUUUGUUGUGUUAAGUCCUACCAUACGCUCAAUAAAUAUUGUUAUUUUGGUGUACGUUA